rnacentral:rRNA from 1 species
GACGAACGCUGGCGGCGUGCUUAACACAUGCAAGUCGAGCGGUAAGGCCCUUUCGGGGGUACACGAGCGGCGAACGGGUGAGUAACACGUGGGUGACCUGCCCUCAGCUCUGGGAUAAGCCUGGGAAACCGGGUCUAAUACUGGAUAUGACUCCAUGACGCAUGUUGUGGGGUGGAAAGCCUUGUGCGGCUGAGGAUGGGCCCGCGGCCUAUCAGCUUGUUGGUGGGGUGANGGCCUACCAAGGCGACGACGGGUAGCCGGCCUGAGAGGGCGACCGGCCACACUGGGACUGAGACACGGCCCAGACUCCUACGGGAGGCAGCAGGUGGGGAAUCUUGCGCAAUGGGCGAAAGCCUGACGCAGCGACGCCGCGUGAGGGAUGACGGCCUGGUCGUAAC